rnacentral:misc_RNA from 1 species
UCACACCGAGGUAAGCAAACGACAAACGCAUAUAAGUAAGAGUAAAAUUAAUGGAAGAACUCACAAUAACAAUACAAUUUGCAAUGCCAAAUAGAGGGCUUCAAAAUUUAUUCUUAAAAAUUUUUCACUGAUAUUGGGGAAGGCAAUAAAAAUAAAGAAAAUGUAAUAUAUGUUCAUUGAAACUGGGAAAAAUAUUUUUUGGCACAUCAAGGGAGACCUCAACAAAAAUUAUUUUUUGGCUGCACUGACUGCACACUAGUUGCAGCCACAAGGUUAAAAUUAUAUCAUUAAUCAUUUUAACUGUCGGCAAAGCUAUACUAGAGAGAGGCCACAGAUGACUACAACCAAAUAAACACUGCAGUCAAUGAAGAUGCCACAAAUGGCCUGGUACAGGAACAAACCUCUCUCCAAGAGCUUGACUGCUCCAGCCCAGUUAUCUUCAUCUUCUUUACCUGAAUUUUGUUCUUCCUCAAUCUCCUCGGAGUCAUUUCCACUCUCACGAAACAAACGGGCAAGCACAAUUGUUACAUCAGUUAACAGGAUUAUGCAAAAAGGCCUUGAGGCAAUGAAGCUAUCUGAAUUCACAAUGACAAGAAAAGCUACAAUGAGAGAACAAAUAGCUCGCGUUCUCUCAGAAGCUAUAAUGCAGUAGUUUAUCCUUUUGGAAGAGAACAAUUUGGGCUGACUUGGUGCCUUUUGAACUGAUGGUGUGAUCUCAGAAGGCUGCUGCAGUUUGCUCAAGGUGUCAGGGCUUGUCGCACUUUUCACCAAACGAGUUUCCGCUUGGUUUCCUCUAUGAAAGUUUCUGGCCCCUGGAUACUCAUUGAUGGUCCUGGUUUUCAUGAAUUUGGAACCAGAGACAUCAUCCGUUUCCUCAGGACCAGCAUUGAUUUGAGCAUUAUCAUUAGGAGAGAACAUAAGUGAUGGAGAAGAUUCCGUGUGCGCAUGUCGACGUUGACGUUGAUUUGAUGGUGAUGGUAGCGACGGCGAUGGACUGAGAGCACGGACUUGGCCGGUGAUGAGAGCCAAGCGAUCACUCCCUCUCUCCAUAAUUCUUCUUCUUCGUUCUUGUCUGACAUUGCUAUCCAUUUCUCUCUCUCUCUGUCUCUCUCGCCAAGCUCCCUCCGAAUUCUGCCUCUCAAAAACGCCUAUUCAGUUAGUUAUUUCCGUUAUAUCAGAAACGGUGCCGUAAUGGAAAUUGCAUUUUCAACAUAUAUUCUUGCUUCUCUAUUCUCUCAUCUUUAUACCUUCUCAAUAUUUAAGACUAAAAUAGAAUAAAUAAAAAGCUCUAUUACAGCGUGAAUUUCCAUGACAAUUUUGGGUGCAAUGUUGGAAGAAUCCAAACAAGGGAGCAAUGUUUGAAACGUUAUGCGAGCAAAGCUUUCAUCCUCCAAGCUGAAGAUGCCACUAUCACCAGGCCCAAAAGGAAAAUAAGUUUGAAGCUCACUUCUGCAAUGCAUGCAAACCAUCUGCUUACACGUGUGAAGGCACUCAACUAUAAUGGCUAUAAAUUUUUAUGCUAAUGCUGGAAGAGCAAAUGUUAGUCAAUCAAAAUAGAGUUUCAGAAAUUGGUUUUCGCCAUUGUUUGUUUAUUCGCAUUGUGAACCAGAAGGUAACAUGACAAAUUUAGCAAGCAUUUCUUCAUAAUUCUUCAUUUUCCUUACUUGUCCAUGAAAUCCUCUUAGUCAUUUGCGACUUCCUGAUGGUUCUGGAUUAUAACAGAUGCUUAGAAAUGCCCCAUGCUCAGUGGGGAUUCUAGUGGAUAGAGGUCUUGGAUUAGCUGAGAAUAUAUCAACAACGCCAAGAUCCUUCCAUGUAGCAGUCAUCUUCAUUGGAGGCAAGGAUGACAGAGAAGCACUAGCCUAUGCAGGACGUGUUGCGCGACAUCCAGGAGUAAAGCUCACAGUGAUAAGAUUCCUGCUUGAUGAUAA